rnacentral:tRNA from 1 species
GGCCCCUUAGCUCAGAGGUUAGAGCAGGCGACUCAUAAUCGCUUGGUCGCUGGUUCAAGUCCAGCAGGGGCCACCA